GAUUCUGUAGCUCAGCUGGGAGAGCGCCACCUUGACAGGGUGGAGGUCGGUGGAGGUCGCUGGUUCGAGACCAGUCAGAAUCA
rnacentral:tRNA from 1 species